rnacentral:lncRNA from 1 species
GGGUUAGAGGGAUAUUUACACAUUCUAGUCUGGACCAAGAAUUAUGAACCAAAUUUAUGAUUCAGAGCUUGUAAAAUAGCAUAUGAUAGAUCUUUGGGUUAUCUUAGUCAGUGCUACAGCAAGGAUUAAAUGUGAGUGUCAGAGCUCUCUCGUGCUAAUGGGGGAGCACGCGACAUCCAGCACCACCCUUGGUCCUUCCACACUCAUUCUCUGCACAGAUCAGAAGUUACUACAGAUCCUGAGGGACUGUGUCAGACACCUAGGUGUUAGGACAGAAGACGACUUAGCCUCAUCCCACAGCCCCAAGAGCAUACAUUGGACAGCUGCUUUGAUUUCUAAUGGAAAAGCUUUCCUUUGAUUUGUGGGAUAAGUUGAUGUCUCAUUUCUCUCUUCAGGUAUAUAUAUGUAUUACCUGAAAGCUGAGGGCAGUUGUUGCCUUGGAUCAUGCAGAGAGUAUGCAGCCACACCCAUGCCUUAGAUGUGUGUAAUUCAAGUGGAGAAGACACAAGCCAGUGGUCACAAUAUCAACACUUGAGUGUUCUGUAAACGGAUUGGUGUCAGCAGAAAACCAACAGUGAUGUGGUGGCACACAGUGAACUGACCAGACCCAGGCAGCAGCAGCUCUUUUGGUGGCACGUCAUGGGUACUCUCCUUGCUAAUGGCAGAUACCGACAGGCAAACUGUUACCUUGCGUUUAGCUCUGUU